rfam:Felis catus isolate Cinnamon breed Abyssinian chromosome B2, whole genome shotgun sequence.
GCCUGGGUGGCUUAGUCUGUUGAGCGCCUGACUUCGGCUCAGGUCAUGAUCUCACGGUCUGUGAGUUCGAGCCCUGCAUCGGGCU